ensembl:misc_RNA Metazoa_SRP Metazoan signal recognition particle RNA
GCUGGGUGUGGUGGUGUGUGCCUGUAGGCCCAGCUACUCAGGAGGCUGAGGCAGGAGGAUCGCUUGAGCCCGGGAGUUCAAGGCUGCAGUAAGCUAUGAUCGCAUCACUGCACUUCAGCCUGGGCAAUAAAAUGAGACCCUGUCUCUU